rnacentral:tRNA from 2 species
GCCCCGGUAUUCCAACGGCAGAGAAGAUGGCCUCAAAAUCCAUUCAGUGUGGGUUCGAAUCCCACCCGGGGCA